rnacentral:lncRNA from 1 species
CCACCAUCUGCUGUCCUCCUCCACCCUCGCCACCAUCUGCUGUCCUCGCCACCGUCGUCACUCUCUCUCCGCCAUCGUCAACAGCACGAUGUCACCAAGUCAUCGAACCAUCACGCUCAGCCACCAUUGUCGACCUCGAGCCACCAAGCUUCUUCAGCCUCCUCCACCUUCUUUAACUAAGAACAUAAAAACAAAUACACAGAGAGAAUCGAAUACAUAAGAACAACAAAAAAUCAAAAUCAAAACAUAGAGAGUGACAUUUGAGAAGCUUCUGACAUUUGACGGAUCAGAUCUCGUACUUCACUCAUCAGACUAAAUACAGAGAGAGAAGAGAGAGGUGACCUUAGUGGUGGUAAAAUGUGUGUUGGAAUGGAAGGUAGUGGUGAGGAUGAGCGCCUCGGUGGUGGUUGUGGUAGCGAUGAGUUGAGAGGAGGCGUACGGAGGCAAGUUUCAGAGACUUGGUUGUCCUCUCCAUGAUUCUUCUUCUCUCAACUCUUGGACUCAAACUCCAAAUCAAUUUCUGCCACACCGCCUUGCACCACCGGAGAGGAGAAGACCAGAGAAGAACGGAAAAAAACGAAGAGGGGAUGAACAGAGAAGACACCACGCCUUGCACUACCGAAUAAGAAAGAGGAGAUGAGAUUCGUAGAGGGAAAGAAGAGAUGAAG